rnacentral:rRNA from 1 species
GACAGAGGCCACGAACGUUGUUCGGAAUUACUGGGCAUAAAGCGCACGUAGGCGGCUAGGUCCGUCCGAUGUGAAAGCCCCCGGCUCAACCGGGGAACAGCAUCGGAUACAGCCUGGCUUGAGGACGGUUGGGGUGAGUGGAACUCCUGGUGGAGCGGUGAAAUGCGUAGAUAUCAGGAGGAACACCGGUGGCGAAAGCGGCUCACUGGACCGUUACUGACGCUGAGGUGCGAAAGCAUGGGGAGCGAACAGG